AGCACACUCUGAAACCCAUUUAUUUUCACUGUGAGAGAAUCUCAUUGAUGAAGCAACCGCGGUUUCCACUACCACAAGGCCACUGAUGCAGUAAGUGCCACCUCCAAAACACUGGAUCCAAGCUUGGCUGUGAGGCUGCUUCAACCUCCACCCCAAAGAUGCACCAUCUGGGUGGGAUCCCUGGGCUGUUAAGAAAAUGUUGCAGCUCAGCACCCCAUCCAUGUCGUGCGGCUUCGGAAAGCCACUCAUGGGAGGCCCGCUACCGCAUCCGAGAUAUCCUUGCCAGUGCGAGUUCUGUGAAACGCCAGAAAAGUAUUGGAGUUGGCAGAAGAGUGU
rnacentral:sRNA from 1 species